AUUGAACGCUGGCGGCAGGCCUAACACAUGCAAGUCGAGCGGAUGAAGGGAGCUUGCUCCUGGAUUCAGCGGCGGACGGGUGAGUAAUGCCUAGGAAUCUGCCUGGUAGUGGGGGAUAACGUCCGGAAACGGGCGCUAAUACCGCAUACGUCCUGAGGGAGAAAGUGGGGGAUCUUCGGACCUCACGCUAUCAGAUGAGCCUAGGUCGGAUUAGCUAGUUGGUGGGGUAAAGGCCUACCAAGGCGACGUUCCGUAACUGGUCUGAGAGGAUGAUCAGUCACACUGGAACUGAGACACGGUCCAGACUCCUACGGGAGGCAGCAGUGGGGAAUACUGGACAAUGGGCGAAAGCCUGAUCCAGCCAUGCCGCGUGUGUGAAGAAGGUCUUCGGAUUGUAAAGCACUUUAAGUUGGGAGGAAGGGCAGUAAGUUAAUACCUUGCUGUUUUGACGUUACCAACAGAAUAAGCACCGGCUAACUUCGUG
rnacentral:rRNA from 1 species